AUUGAACGCUGGCGGCAGGCCUAACACAUGAAAGUCGAGCGAGCGGCGGACGGGUGAGUUAUGUCUGGGAAUCUGCCUGAUGGAGGGGGAUAACUACUGGAAACGGUAGCUAAUACCGCAUACCAUCAGUUGCGCCCAGAUGGGAUUAGCUAGUGGGUGGGGUAAUGGAUCACAUAGGCGACGAUCCCUAGCGGGUCUGAGAGGAUGACCGGCCACACUGGAACUGAGACAGGGUCCAGACUCCUACGGGAGGCAGCAGUGGGGAAUAUUGCACAAUGGGCGCAAGCCUGAUGCAGACAUGCCGCGUGUGUGAAGAAGGCCUUGGGGUUGUAAAGCACUUUCAGCGAGGAGGCGUUACUCGCAGAAGAAGCACCGGCUAACUCCGUGCCAGCCGCCGCGGUAAUAC
rnacentral:rRNA from 1 species